ACUGCCCCAUGGCAUUGGAUCUAGUUGUGAAUUGUACAAAUUCAGAUGUUCAAUACAAGACAUGGUAGAAAGCUAUCCCAUUCUAUUACAAAAGAGUCUCAGAAAAUCAAAUUACAUGUUUUUACAUCAUUUGAUCCCAGUUGAGUUUUAGUCAACUGUUGACUUUUUGGUCAAACGGUUGACCAAAGUCAAUCCACUAUACUAUACUCUAUAUGUUUCAUUCUCCAUAAGAUCUUCAUGUUCGAACUUCCGCAUCAUGUCAGAGUGUUGUGCGACACCACAUCACGAGUCCGGACAUGCAAAAACAUACCAGAAAACAUACGCAAUGAGUCGCGGUCCUAACAUGCCACAAAAUAGUGAAAAGCCCAAAAAACACUUUUUUCACGCAUGUAACCGGUUAUGCAAAAUAGGGAACCAGUUACACCUACAUUUUCAAGCCUCUCAGCAGUGCGCAGAAACACAUUUUUUCACGCAUGUAAUCAGUUACACAAAAAUAGGUAACCACUUACAUCACUCAAAUGUAGCCACGUAACACAUAUUUUCACGGGUAUAAUCUAUUACAUCAAAUCACACAAUCGGUUACACCUGGGAUAUAAUGUUAAAAUGUUGCAUAUUUCAACAACAAUGCAGUUCCAAUUCUACACCAAACCAAUCCUAAUACAUAUCAGUGCAGUAACAUCAACAAUAUACACCAGUUCCAUUUCUAAUCAUAUCAUUUAACACUUUUUCCUGCUGAACAGAAUAAGAAUUUAUUAAAAUUGGAACUAAAUCUUCAAUUUCCAUAUCUAUUAAAAUUAAAACUAAAAUCAAAAUCCUAAUCCAGUACUUUCAAUUGAAUACUAGACGCAGAGGAUUAUAUGUAUAUAUAGAUCAACUAGCCAAUGAAAUUAAGUUAGUUUAAUCAAGAUUUGAAAGAAAGUGUAAAAAAAAUGGAAAUAAAAUUUGUACCUUGGAAGAAGGGUGAGGAAUGGAAGAAGGUAGCUCUUCC
rnacentral:lncRNA from 1 species